UACGAAGGGGGCUAGCGUUGCUCGGAAUUACUGGGCGUAAAGGGAGCGUAGGCGGCUAGUUUAGUCAGAGGUGAAAGCCCAGGGCUCAACCCUGGAAUAGCCUUUGAUACUGGCUGUCUUGAGUAUGGGAGAGGUAAGCGGAACUCCGAGUGUAGAGGUGAAAUUCGUAGAUAUUCGGAAGAACACCAGUGGCGAAGGCGGCUUACUGGCCCAUUACUGACGCUGAGGCUCGAAAGCGUGGGGAGCAAACAGG
rnacentral:rRNA from 1 species